AGAUUUUCAAACAAAGAUUUCCACCGUGAUUUAGAAAAAGAAUUGUUGUAAAAGUUUUAUUUCAAAAGAAGCAGUUAAUGGUUUCAUGUUUGAGUUCGUCCAAGGUUGUUGGUCUGGAUCUGACGGAUGAGGAUAAGCAACGAAAUUAAUAAUUAAUUUCUGUCCAGUCUUCGGGUUUGCGCUCCAACUUUGCUUUUCGAUUGUGAUUAUAUUACCUUUUGCAAAAAAAUAAAAUAAAAUUAUACUA